CAGCAGCCACGGUAACACGUAGGGUGCAAGCGUUAAUCGGAAUUACUGGGCGUAAAGCGUGCGUAGGCGGUGAGUUAAGUCUGCUGUGAAAUCCCCGGGCUCAACCUGGGAAUGGCAGUGGAUACUGGCUCGCUAGAGUGUGUCAGAGGAUGGUGGAAUUCCCGGUGUAGCGGGGAAAUGCGUAGAGAUCGGGAGGAACAUCAGUGGCGAAGGCGGCCAUCUGGGACAACACUGACGCUGAGGCACGAAAGCGUGGGGAGCAAACAGGAUUAGAUACCCGAGUAGUCCCUGUCUCUUAUAC
rnacentral:rRNA from 1 species